GUUUUAUCUUUUAUUAAUAAAGUUAAGUACUGUGUGAACCUGUUCUCUCAGUUAUGAUUAACCAUAACCAGUCUGUAAGCCGUCUGAAAGCUGGAUAAUAUCUGCUGAUAAAGCCUGUGACCUUGAGCGUCUCGGCCAAUCGCAGCGGCGCACACGUGUGCAUCAGCGUCUCCGUACUUUAUUCUUCAUUCACUGCUGGAGUUUGAGAGGAAGGGAAAGACAUGGACGUCUAACUCUAUGAUUUCUCCAGACGGAUAACAUCUGACCUUCAUCACGGCCUGUGAACAAACUCUCAUCUGGACGAGUGUGAUGGCGGGUCCGCUUGAGCCUCCUCUGCUGCCCCCAUCUGGUGAGGAGGAGGUUUUCUUCAAGAAUUACAUCCCACCUGCUCGAGACGCCAUCCAUCUGCCCAUUCACGUCUUCUACAUCAUCCUCGCCUCCAUCAUCAUAGUGAUGACGCUCUACGCCAUCAUCGGCCACCUCAUCAAAGACCUGAUACACGACUUGGCAGACUAUCUGUUCGGCCAGCAGCCGGAGGAGGUGCGGCUCAAUCUGUGCGAGGCCAAAGACAAAUUCAUGGCCGACUGGUGUCCUGAGACCAGCCCGGAGCUGGAGGAGAUGGCCCGCGCAGAGGAGAUCCGGGUGGUGAUGGAGGGCAACAGAUACACCCCGGCCAUCUGGAUCAUCUCUGACGGGACUGAGCCCAGAGCGCCGCGCACCGGCCCGCGGGUCGUGUUCGGCAAGAACGUCUAG
ensembl:lncRNA